GACGAACGCUGGCGGCGUGCCUAAUACAUGCAAGUAGGACGCAGUUGCGAACGGGUGAGUAACGCGUAGGUAACUGCCUAUUAGAGGGGGAUAACUAUUGGAAACGAUAGCUAAUACCGCAUACUAGUAGAUGGACCUGCGUUGUAUUAGCUAGUAGGUGGGGUAAUGGCCUACCUAGGCGACGGUACAUAGCCGAACUGGAGGGGGGAUCGGCCACAAGGGGACUGAGAAACGGCCCAGACUCCUACGGGAGGCAGCAGUAGGGAAUCUUCGGCAAUGGGGGGAAACCUGACCAAGCAACGCCGCGUGAGUGAAGAAGGUGUUCGGAUCGUAAAGCUCUGUUGUUAAGGAAGCGGUACUUAACCAGAAAGGGACGGCUAACUACGUGCCAGCAGCCGCGGUAAUAC
rnacentral:rRNA from 1 species